rnacentral:rRNA from 1 species
CAGAGGGUGCAAACGUUGUUCGGAAUUACUGGGCGUAAAGCGCGUGUAGGCGGCUGCGUGUGUCGGGCGUGAAAUCCCAUGGCUCAACCAUGGAAGUGCACCCGAAACUGCGUAGCUAGAGUCCUGGAGAGGAAGGUGGAAUGCUUGGUGUAGAGGUGAAAUUCGUAGAUAUCAAGCGGAACACCGGUGGCGAAGGCGGCCUUCUGGACAGUGACUGACGCUGAGACGCGAAAGCGUGGGGAGCAAACAGGAUUAGAUACCCUGGUAGUCCACGCCGUAAACGAUGAGUGCUAGGUGUCACGGGCUUUGACCCUCGUGGUGCCGAAGCUAACGCGUUAAGCACUCCGCCUGGGGAGUACGGCCGCAAGGCUA